rnacentral:rRNA from 1 species
CCAUCAGUUAGUUGGUAGGGUAACGGCCUACCAAGGCGAAGACGGGUAGGGGGUGUGAGAGCACGGCCCCCCACACUGGGACUGAGACACGGNCCAGACUCCUACGGGAGGCAGCAGCGGGGAAUAUUGCGCAAUGGACGGAAGUCAGACGCAGCGACGCCGCGUGGGUGAAGAAGGCCUUCGGGUUGUAAAGCCCUUUUCUGAGGGAAGAGAAAGGACGGUACCUUAGGAAUAAGCGUCGGCUAACUACGUGCCAGCAGCCGCGGUAAGACGUAGGACGCGAGCGUUAUCCGGAUUUACUGGGCGUAAAGCGUGUGUAGGCGGCGUGACAAGUUGGGCGUGAAAGCCCCGUGCUCAACGCGGGGAGGCCGCACAAUACUGUCAGGCUAGAGGGCAUCAGAGGGGUGUGGAAUUCCCGGAGUAGCGGUAAAAUGCGCAGAUAUCGGGAGGAACACCGGUGGCGAAAGCGGCACCCUGGGGUGCACCUGACGCUGAGAGACGACAGCUAGGGGAGCGAACAGGAUUAGAGACCCUGGUAGUCCUAGCCGUAAACGAUGGAUGCUAGGUGUGGGAGUGAAGAACUUCUGUGCCGCAGCGAACGCGAUAAGCAUCCCGCCUGGGGAGUACGGCCGCAAGGUUAAAACUCAAACGAAUUGACGGGGACCCGCACAAGCAGCGGAGCGUGUGGUUUAAUUCGAUGCUACACGAAGAACCUUACCUGGGAUUGACAUAUGGGUGGUAGUGAGCCGAAAGGCAAGCGACCCUUCGGGGAGCCUAUACAGGUGCUGCAUGGCUGUCGUCAGCUCGUGCCGUGAGGUGUCGGGUUAAGUCCCGUAACGAGCGCAACCCCUGUCCUUAGUUACAAGUGUCUAAGGGGACUGCCGGCGGGAAGCCGGACGCCAGGUGGGGAUGACGUCAAGUCAGCAUGGCCCUUAUAUCCAGGGCGACACACACGCUACAAUGGUCGGUACAGAGGGCAGCGAAGCCGCGAGGUGGAGCGAAACCCAGAAAGCCGGUCGUAGUUCGGAUUGCAGGCUGCAACUCGCCUGCAUGAAGUUGGAGUUGCUAGUAACCGCAGGUCAGCCAUCCUGCGGUGAAUACGUUCCCGGGUCUUGUACACACCGCCCGUCACGUCAUGGGAGUCG